GACGAACGCUGGCGGCGUGCUUAACACAUGCAAGUCGAACGGAAAGGCCCUGCUUUUGUGGGGUGCUCGAGUGGCGAACGGGUGAGUAACACGUGAGUAACCUGCCCUUGACUUUGGGAUAACUUCAGGAAACUGGGGCUAAUACCGGAUAGGAGCUCCUGCUGCAUGGUGGGGGUUGGAAAGUUUCGGCGGUUGGGGAUGGACUCGCGGCUUAUCAGCUUGUUGGUGGGGUAGUGGCUUACCAAGGCUUUGACGGGUAGCCGGCCUGAGAGGGUGACCGGCCACAUUGGGCCUGAGGUACGGCCCAGACGCCUACGGGAGGCAGCAGUGGGGAAUAUUGCACAAUGGGCGGAAGCAUGAUGCAGCAACGCCGCGUGCGGGAUGACGGCCUUCGGGUUGUAAACCGCUUUCGCCUGUGACGAAGCGUGAGUGACGGUAAUGGGGAAAGAAGCACCGGCGAACUACGU
rnacentral:rRNA from 1 species